rnacentral:rRNA from 1 species
GCCUAACACAUGCAAGUCGAGGGGCAUCGGGGCGAGGAGCAAUCCUUGCCGCCGGCGACCGGCGCACGGGUGAGUAACGCGUAUGCGACCUGCCCGUUGCAGGGGGAUAAUCGGGAGAAAUCCCGUCUAAUACCGCGUAAUGCCGCGGGGCUGCAUGGCCCUGCGGCCAAAGGGAGCGAUUCCGGCAACGGAUGGGCAUGCGUGACAUUAGCUAGUUGGCGGGGCAACGGCCCACCAAGGCGACGAUGUCUAGGGGUUCUGAGAGGAAGGUCCCCCACACUGGUACUGAGACACGGACCAGACUCCUACGGGAGGCAGCAGUGAGGAAUAUUGGUCAAUGGGCGCGAGCCUGAACCAGCCAAGUCGCGUGAGGGAUGACGGCCCUACGGGUUGUAAACCUCUUUUGUCGGGGAGCAAAUUCCGCCACGUGUGGCGGAGUCGAGAGUACCCGAAGAAAAAGCAUCGGCUAACUCCGUGCCAGCAGCCGCGGUAAUACGGAGGAUGCGAGCGUUAUCCGGAUUUAUUGGGUUUAAAGGGUGCGUAGGCGGACUGUCAAGUCAGCGGUAAAAUACGGGGGCUCAACCUCCGCCCGCCGUUGAAACUGACGGUCUUGAGUGGGCGAGAAGUAUGCGGAAUGCGUGGUGUAGCGGUGAAAUGCAUAGAUAUCACGCAGAACUCCGAUUGCGAAGGCAGCAUACCGGCGCCCGACUGACGCAGAAGCACGAAAGCGUGGGUAUCGAACAGGAUUAGAUACCCUGGUAGUCCACGCAGUAAACGAUGAAUACUAGCUGUCCGGGGCGAAUGAGCCCUGGGUGGCACAGCGAAAGCGUUAAGUAUUCCACCUGGGGAGUACGCCGGCAACGGUGAAACUCAAAGGAAUUGACGGGGGCCCGCACAAGCGGAGGAACAUGUGGUUUAAUUCGAUGAUACGCGAGGAACCUUACCCGGGCUCAAACGACACAGGAACGUACCUGAAAGGGUUCGGCUCUACGGAGCCUGUGUCGAGGUGCUGCAUGGUUGUCGUCAGCUCGUGCCGUGAGGUGUCGGCUUAAGUGCCAUAACGAGCGCAACCCCCAUCGACAGUUGCUAACAGGUCAGGCUGAGGACUCUGUCGAGACUGCCGGCGCAAGCUGCGAGGAAGGCGGGGAUGACGUCAAAUCAGCACGGCCCUUACGUCCGGGGCGACACACGUGUUACAAUGGCAGGUACAGCGGGAAGCCACCUGGCGACAGGGAGCGGAACCCGAAAGCCUGUCUCAGUUCGGAUUGGAGUCUGCAACCCGACUCCAUGAAGCUGGAUUCGCUAGUAAUCGCGCAUCAGCCACGGCGCGGUGAAUACGUUCCCGGGCCUUGUACACACCGCCCGUCAAGCCAUGGAAGCCGGGGGUGCCUGAAGU